rnacentral:rRNA from 1 species
GUGGGGAAUAUUGGACAAUGGGGGGAACCCUGAUCCAGCCAUGCCGCGUGUGUGAAGAAGGCCUUUUGGUUGUAAAGCACUUUAAGUGGGGAGGAGGCUUACCUGGUUAAUACCUAGGCUAAGUGGACGUUACCCACAGAAUAAGCACCGGCUAACUCUGUGCCAGCAGCCGCGGUAAUACAGAGGGUGCGAGCGUUAAUCGGAUUUACUGGGCGUAAAGCGCGCGUAGGUGGUUAAUUAAGUCAAAUGUGAAAUCCCCGAGCUGAGCUUGGGAAUGGCAUUCGAUACUGGUUAGCUAGAGUAUGGGAGAGGAUGGUAGAAUUCCAGGUGUAGCGGUGAAAUGCGUAGAGAUCUGGAGGAAUACCGAUGGCGAAGGCAGCCAUCUGGCCUAAUACUGACACUGAGGUGCGAAAGCAUGGGGAGCAAACAGGAUUAGAUACCCUGGUAGUCC